AUUGAACGCUGGCGGCAGGCCUAACACAUGCAAGUCGAACGAGUGGCGGACGGGUGAGUAAUGUAUGGGAAACUGCCUGAUGGAGGGGGAUAACUACUGGAACCGGUAGCUAAUACCGCAUACCAUCGGAUGUGCCCAGAUGGGAUUAGCUAGUAGGUGGGGUAAAGGCUCACCUGGGCGACGAUCCCUAGCUGGUCUGAGAGGAUGACCAGCCACCUUGGAACUGAGACACGGUCCAUACGCCUACGGGAGGCAGCAGGUGGGAAUAUUGCACAAUGGGCGCAAGCCUGAUGCAGCCAUGCCGCGUGUAUGAAGAAGGCCGUCGGGUUGGAAAGUACUUUCAGCGGGGAGGCGUUACCCGCAGAAGAAGCACCGGCUAACUCCGUGCCAGCAGCCGCGGUAAUAC
rnacentral:rRNA from 1 species